rnacentral:rRNA from 1 species
AUUGAACGCUGGCGGCCUGCCUAACACAUGCAAGUCGAACGAGUGGCGGACGGGUGAGUAAUGUCUGGGCAACUGCCUGAUGGAGGGGGAUAACUACUGGAAACGGUCGCUAAUACCGCAUACCAUCAGAUUUGCCCAGAUGGGAUUAGCUUGUUGGUGGGGUAACGGCUCACCAAGGCGACGAUCCCUAGCUGGUCUGAGAGGAUGACCGGCAACACUGGAACUGGGAAACGGUCCAGAGUCCGACGGGAGGAAGCAGGGGGGAAGAUUGGAAAAUGGGCGAAAGCCUGAUGCAGCCAUGCAGGGUGUAUGAAGAAGGCCUGCGGGUUGUAAAGUACUUUCAGCGGGGAGGCGUUACCCGAAGAAGAAGCAACGGCGAACUCCGUGCCAGCAGCCGCGGUAAUUC